rnacentral:lncRNA from 1 species
GCCGGCGGAGUGGCGCAUGCGGAACGCGUCAGGCGGGUGCGUCCGCAGCACGCCGCUGCAGUGCGGGGGCGGCUUCUACGGCCUGCGCGGCGUGAAGCUGCCGGAGACGCACGGCAGCAGCGUGGAUGCCGGCGCCUCGCUUGAGGAGUGCCGCCGGCGGUGCCUGGCCAACUGCUCGUGCACGGCGUACGCCGCGUCGGACAUCCGUGGUGGCGAUGGCGGGAGCGGGUGCAUCCAGUGGUGCGGCGAGCUGGUGGACACGCGGUUCAUCGACGGCGGGCAGGAUAUCUUCGUCAGGCUGGCAAUGUCUGACCUAGGUAAUUAUAAUUAAAUUAAAUGCUCUCUCCAAUAUCUUUUUCCCGGAUUGAAUUUCCAGUAACCGGCCACCGGAGUUUUUGUUUUUUGAAAUCACCGAUCACCGGAGUUACGAUGAAUAAUUUUUCUAUACUUAAUUACGGACAGUUCCACAAAUUUCAUUAACUGCACGGGGGGCCCUCCACACAUUGAAAAACCUUAUAUACAUGUCUCGAGAUUUUUUUAAUUCAAAAUUUGUUCAAAUCAUUUCGAGUAGUAUAAAUAACCAAGAUUUCUGAGAAAUUCCGUCCAUCCCUUUAUCGGUUGAAAACCGGAAUAAAAGAAAACUUUGGCUCUCACUUGCACUAAGGUUUAUACUCGCUAGACUUUUUUUAAUUUACAAUCAAAUGGGAUUGACGUGAUCAUAGAGCAUUUGUAGAAAACACUAGUGCUUCUUCUUACCAAGCAGACUAAUGCUUAUGCUCAUCAUAACCCUUUGAAUUUUUCUUUCUAAACAAGUGACAAUGGGUUCCGAAACGAGACUGAAAAACUGCGGCAAAUGAUGUUCUUUCACUUUCGAGGGGGAAAUGAUUUGCUUCGUCAAAGCCGAUUACGUUAUGGAAUUGAUUAUAUUCAUAGAAAAAGCAUCCCUAUUUAAUAAGUCCUCGGAAACGAUCUCAUCCCGUACUUCUCUCAGCCUAUUUCCCAAGACUUUGGAGCAUAGCUUGUAAAUGGCAUUGCACAAAGAUAUCGGCCUAUACUGUGAUAUUUCUUCGGGGUUCUACUGUCACCAAGUGCACUAUUAUGUACUUCACCGCAUACUUAAAGAAUUGUUGGUGGCAAAGAACGACACCCGAUAGAAAGGAUGCUAACCAAGCCUCUUCUGUUUAAGCAAGGCUAAGCCGGAACAAGGGGUACAGUAGGCUUGUCACCCUGACGAUAGCACUAAGACUGCCUCGGGAAUCUCCUCAAUCAUAGAGGAGUGCCACGGGAGCUGAAUUAAAGCACUGAUAUCCAUAUAAUCCUACAAUUAUGCUCUAUUCUCCUGAAGAGAAGACAAUUGAACCUCGUCAUGUGCUAUUGAUCCUUUUGAACCUAAAUACACAUUGGCUCUUUUUGGGAUAGAACUUUUCUUUUUUCUGUGAAAGUCCUCCUUCCUCUGGACAAAGAUUACAUUAGAGGUGCCUCGACCCGAAAGAGCAUGAUACAAUCGGUUAGGACGUAGCUUUGCUACGAGAAAGGAUAGGACUUUUGACAGGUCUAGAAUUCGACUUCUAAAAAGAGAAUUCUAUAAAAAAAAAUAAAGAAAAGAGGAGGAAGCUGGACUUACCUCUGUACAUACAAUGAAUCUAAUAAAUAAGUCUUAUGGAUGAAUGUUGAAGACGGACAUACAACCCUACUAAAAUUCACAAAGCUCAACGGCCAACUUACACAAUCGAAACAAAGAAACAACUAAAAAGAUGCAUAGUGCUACGCAAGCAGCUAACAAGCUUCCUACCACCAACAAGCAAAGAUUCAGAACCUAAGGCACAAAUACAACUUAAAGACAUGAAGCCCUCCACCAAGAGUUGAUUUGCAAUGCCCCAGUGCCUGGUUAUUGGAGUGUCAAAUAAAUGUUGAUUUUCUCCACCAAACAAUAACAUAAAAAAUAUCACGAACGCAUGCACUCGAGAAGAACUUUAGAUAACGUUUCAUAUUAUAUUCGCCUUUUCCAUUUGUUCUUUUCUAAAAUCCAAAGGUCACAAUCUUCAUAAAAAGCAAGAAUAAUAUAUAUGAAUAUAUAAGACCAAGACGAACCUAAGAUAGCGUGUGCAUGUUGACGUGGACCUUUUACCAUGCAUGUUUGGGGCAUAUGUGCAUGCUUAGAUAAAUAUGUUGAUGAGAAUCAACUACCCCUUCAUCUAAAUUAAUACUAAAUCUGUGACACUUGUUUUAGGACCGAGAAAGUACUUAGUUAUAUGUAGGAUAACUAGCUAGCAGACCUGUGUUAGCCAGACUCCGUUCAAACUUAUCUAAGAAAUGGAAAUAGACAUAUUUCUUUUCCCUGCAAAAGAAACAUAUUUCUUCUUUUGGGAAACACCUAUUACAAUAGAUGCACACAUGUACACACUCACACCGCCGAACGUACUUAAAACAUUCUAUGACUCGCGUAUCUCAGGAAUUUAAGCCAUGCAAAGAAAAUAAAUACAGGACUCCACAAAAGUUUGGAAUUUUGAACAAUAUAUAGGAACUGAACCAAAUCAAUUUGACCAAGUAAGAUUUGUCCCAAAUAGAUAGGGUCGGUGUCACAGUACCCAUCUUGGCUUCUCCGUCAAGACGUAACCUGCAGUGCUGUCAAUGUUCUAAAUUACUAGUCUGCUACGACGCUGUUUCUUUGACUUGGCUUCUUCUCCCUGCCAAUCAAUUCCAACAUGGAAAUAUAUAAGUGCUGCUUAUUCAGUAAGAAUUUAGUGUGACUAUUAACAGAUUUAUCUCCUGUCUUUAUCGGUGUCUAGUGUGUGAUUGCACAAGUGCUCGCGGGUUGCCUCGUUAGUCAUGUGCAUCCUUUUCGUAGUCAUAAGGGGAAAAAGACAUAAGAAAUACCUGCAAAUUCUAGGUCCACGACUCGCAUGGUUUUAAAUAGCGUACUAUAGAGUUUAAAAAAGAUCUUGCGCUAAGAGAUUUUGAUCCAAACACAUGAACAAACAUUCAAAAUAGUGCUUUAUAGCUCCGCUAUAGCGUUUAGAAGAGGUCUGCCGCUAAGAUGCUUACCGCGCUAUUAAAACUACUCCCUCCGUUCCAAAAUAUAAGACCUUUUAAAGAUUUCAUUAGAAGACUACAUACGAAGCAAAAUGAGUGAAUUUAUAUUUUAAAAUAUGUCUAUGUACAUCCGUAUGUAGUUUAUAGUACAAUCUCUAAAAAAAGCUUAUAUUUAGGAACGAAGGGAGUAUGUUACUUUCGGUCUCACAUGGGCGCUAUUUAAAGAUGCCUAGUCGAUCACCCGACAUGCACAUGCAAAGAAACUUAUGCAAAGUCUCUGAACAAGGUAAAUAAAUAUGCAACGCAUCCUCUCUGUUACUUUCGUUCUCACACGGACCAAUGUCUCAUAGUAUCCAUGCUUUUCUGUCUGUCUAGGUGGACAGUGUCAGAUUGACCUACAUAUCUCUUAUUUACUAAUUGGAGGCACCUUUAAAGUCUUCUUAUUAAUCAACAUCAUCAAAAUUAAUUAUAUCGUUGGAUUAAAUAAUUAACGCUAGAGAUAAAAUGAAAUUUUACGUAACAAGGGUCACAUAAAAAAGGCAUUUGACAAAUUCAACGUUGGUGAAACAAACAAAAAAAUAGCAUCGACCGUUUUCUUAAAAUAAGAUAGCCUACUUCCAUAAAAACUCCAUCGAUGGAAAGGAAAAAAAUAGAUCUAUCUUUUGUUGAUAGGUUUGGAAUGGCUUAUCAUGCUUGCCGCAGGAUAAAAAAAAUAGAUCUGUUUGAUUACCCUUUAGACUUGGUUAAUAAAAUGUUCUCCCGUGAACGAAAGCAUGUACGUGUAGAAGGAAAGAAAGGCACGUACAAGUGAGAAGUCCCCAAGUCCCACGUUGAGAAGACUCCACGUCCUAAUGCACCACAUUAGAAAAAUUCGCGUGCAUGCUUCCAUAAAAAAUAAAAAAGGCAUGUACAAAUAAAUUGAAGUCCAUAAGCCCCACGUUGACUCCACAUCCUAAUGCACCACAUUAUAAAAAUUCACGUACAUGCUCCCAUAAAAAUAAAAAAGGCACGUACAAAUAAAUUCUCCUGAAGCAUCAUACAUCACAGAAAAAGAGUCCCAAGACACACACUCAAAUUCCAAGUUAGAAAAAGCUGGCGUUAAAGUUGGAAGCAACACAUUUCUUUCUGCCUUCAUAAUGAAAAAAUAGACACGUACGAAAGGGAAGUCCUCAAGCCCCGCAUUAGAAGAAGAGUCCAAGUUGCAAUUUAAUGAUUACAAAAAGUGUCCACUUUACCUUAAAAAGAGUAUCCAUGUCCCAAAUCACCCCAAAAAAAUCACAUCCACGUUCACUUGGAAAAUGAAAAAAUGGACAUGUACAAAUAAAUAUUUCUCAAGAGUCACGUUACAAAAAGAAGACUCAUUGCCAGCUCGAAAAAAAUUCUUACCUUACAAAAUCACCUAAUUGGAACAUGACCCAAUGUAUUAGCUUAAGAUGUGAAAUCGUGUAACUGUAACAUGAUCCAAUGUACUAACUUAAUAUGUGAGAUUACAUAAUUAUAAAAUUACCAGGAAACUACACACAUAAUUUUGACGCAUGGAAAAAAUCAUACUAAAAUUUGCUUAGUUAUUUUAAAUAGGGUUAUUUCACAACCUCAUCCACUAUAAUUUGGGUAGAACUUUUUUUCAAGUAUAAUGAAGUAUUCAACUAAUUAAUUUGAUACCCGAGAGAUAAAUUCUCAAGUAAUUAUAACAUUGUUUUCUACAGUUAGACAAAAAGCACUUCCGAGUGGACCAAGAGGAUAUAAUGUUCACACUAUAAAUAGCACAUGUGUUCUUUGGAUUUCCAAAGAGGAAACAACUGAUUAGUAUAUGUUGAUACACACAUUAUUUGUACUGAACACUACACAAAAAUUCUAUAUUAUUAAUGUAAUUAUGUGAACAAAGGAAUUGGCUAAGAGUAAGAGUAUGAAUGCUAAUCUGUCCAUAAUCUUAUCAAAUUUGGAAGUAUAUAACCAGAUUGAGGUUAGAGCGCUUAUUCAAUCUAUUACAUACAUGAAACAUCGAGUAUGAUCAAAUAAUAAUAGAAACACGAGGGAUUAAUUUAAAAGAAGACAACCCUGGGGGUGAGAGGGUGAUGAAGUACUCAGAGUAGUUGUUUUCAUCAAGCCGAUGCAGAUCAUUUUUGUAUUUUAAAAAUUGAAUAGUUUUCCACAAAUAUGCUAAGCAGUACCGACUAUUUUCGGGGGAUAUUAUUUGUCGAAAACCAAUUGCACUUGCACAUUUCGUUGCAAGGGAAUCUUCUAUACUAUAUACAAACUGGACAUCAUUUCACAUAAAUGGGGUUCCAUACAUUGUAUUAAUCCAGGCUUUGCUAAUCAAUAUAAAUGACAUUUAAAUAUAAAAAUAUGACAUAUGUAGUAAUUAUGUCGGAAUAUAAAUUAUACAGUGUUUAUUUGUACAUAUCAUCAACUAAUGUAUUAAAAAUUCACUAUUAAAAUAAUACUAACUGACAACAACAAUUUUAAGAUAGAACAUUUUCUAGCCCGCGUGAACACACGGGUUGACGACUAGUGGUAAUAAAUCGCCAAAGCUAAUGAUUCCUCUGUCUCAAAAUACCUAGCGUGUUAGUUUUUGUUAGGGCAAUCCUUUGACAAAUAAUUAAAAGAUUACUCCCUCUAUAUCAAAAUGUAAGACUUUUUUUGACAUUAUGGCAGUGUAGAAAAAUGGCUUAUAUUUUGAUACGGAGGGAGUACUAUGCAAUUUUUGUAAUACAAAUCAUAACCACACAACAAUAUUUUGAAAGAUAAAUCUUGUUACAUCAAUUUUAUGUCACAUGAAGUAUAUAUUAAUAGAGUAAUUGUCUGUCAAAUGAUUGCCCUAACAAUACCGAAUACACUGACUCUAACUACAUAUUAGUCAAAAGCAAUUCAUGUUGGAACUUCUGGUUCAAGGAAGGUAAUUACUGUCUUUCUCUCUCCAUGGUCAUGCUCGGUUAAACCUUCCUAGUUUCGGAAGGGUUUGCAGAUGAUUGGACGGGAUUUAAUCCCAACAAUCCCUGUUAAAUCCCUUCUGAACGGAACACGCGGCAAACAAUGGGGGGUUGUUUCCGGUUUCCGGACAGCUCAAAAAAUGUUUACUCCCUUCAUUCCAUUGGGAGCGAUGUAGGCAUCAGCGCGCUGGCCCGCAGCCGUCUGAUCGGGGAGCUCCUGUGACAAUGACCAAAGCUUCCGGGCAUGCUCGCCGCCACUCAUAUUAAUCUACAAUAGACGCACACAUAUACAACUCACAAUGGCAAACUUACAUUAAACAUUCUACGACUUGCAUAUGACAUGAAAUUAGACCACGCAAUGGGAAACAUUUAUAAUCAUCCGACUAAUUUUAUCCUGGGCAUAAGCCGCCUCCUCCACCCGCCCACGUGAUCCUUGCUUUGUUCACAGCGUUUCUACUGCUGCUACUUUCACGUGUCCAGGUGGGAUCGCUAAAUAUUUUUAUUUACCUUUGCGUGUGCUAUGUACUCCCUCCGUUUUAAAAUAUAAGACCUUUUUAGAGAUUACACUAGAAGACUACAUACAAAGCAACAUGAGUGAAUCUACAUUCUAAAAUAUGUCUAUGUACAUCCGUAUGUAGUGUAAUAUCUAAAAGGUCUUGUAUUUAGGAAGGGAGGGAGUAGCUCGUGCCUACACCGCUACUGCUGCUACCCACUCUCUCAUCUUCCCUUUAGCGCAUGGCUUUUUACAUCAUUCUGAGCAGGCUAGCUUAAUUAGUACACGGGCUGGCGCUGACCUUUUUUUUGUGUGCCUAACAUCAUUGCGCGUCGCGGCUGCAUGUAAAAUGCAUGCUUUGAGUAGUGUCCUUGUCACGUCUGCUGUCGUCGUCGUCGAACCAUGUCAUCGCUUCGUCAUCGGAGCAGCUAGACUGUUGUUGUAGCAUCGUCCAAGCAGCCAUAUCAUUAUCGCAACACUGCCAUGGCCGAGAAGCACGGCUUUGUAGCAUCGGCGAAGUAGCCGGCAUCCGACGCAGCAGCAUCGUGGUCGUCAAAGCACAUCGUCGUGAUCGUACGAAGCAAGCCGCCGCGGCUGCCGAAGCAUCCAUUGUCGUCGUCGAAGCAUGCAUCACAACAUCAUCGAAGCAGCCAAGCUGCCAUCAUAGCAUCGCCACAGCCGUCGACGCAUAUCAUCGAAGCACACCAAGGCCGUUUGAAGAACAUCGUCGUGCCUGCUGAAGCAUCGCCGUCGCAUCAACACCGAAGCAACCAAGCUGUCAUCGUAGCAUUGAUGCGGCUAUCAAAGCACGUUGUCACAAUAUCAUUGAAGCAGUCGUGCAGCCAUCGCGGCAUCACCAUGAUCGUGGACACACGUCGUUGCAGCAUCAUCGAGGCAUCCGACCAGCCAUUGCAGCAUCGACGUUGCCGUCGAAGCACACAAUGGCUCGUGCCAUCGCUGUGGCAGUUGUAGCAUCGCCGCGGCCGUCGACACAUGUCAUCCAAGCACACCGCGACCGUUUGAAAAACAUCGUCAUGCCCGUUGAAGCAUGUCCUCGAAGCACCCAAGCUGUCAUCAUAGCAUUGAUGCGGCCAUCAAAAGCACAUUGUCACAACAUCAUCGAAGCAGUCGGGCGGCCAUCGCAUCAUCACCAUGGCCGUCGACACACACCCUUGCAACAUCAUCGAGGCAGCAACCAGCCGUUGUAGCAUCACCGUUGUCGUUGAAGCACACAAUGGCUCAUGCCAUCGUCGUGGCCGUUGUAGCAUCGCCACGGCCGUCGAUGCAUGUCAUCGAAGCAUACCAUGGCCUUUUGAAAAACAUCGCCAUGCCUGUUGAAGCAUGUCGUCGCAGCAUCAUCGAAGCAUCCAAGCUGCCAUCGCAGCAUUGGUGCGGCCAUCAAAGCACAUUGUCGCGGCACCAUCCAUGCAGUCGGGUAGCCAUCGCAGCAUCACCAUGGUAGUCGACACACGCCGUCGCAGCAUCAUAAAAGCAGCCGGCAUGCCGUUGCAGCAUCAUUGAGUCCGUCGAAGGACAUAAUGGCUCGCGCCAUCGUCGUGGCUGUCGAAGCAUGCCGUCCCAACACUCCUCGUAGCAUUGUCGUGGUCGUCGUAGGAAGCGGGUCACCAUCGCAGAAUCGGCCAUCCAGCGUUGACCUGCUUGCGGCCUCACACUAACGCCUGCAGCAGCAGCAACAUCGAUCGUCUUGACUUGUAGUGUGCCUCAUUCGUAGCAGCCACUCUCGUGCUUGUCUUUGCAGCAACACUUUCGUUAUAAUAGAGACUAUCAUUUGGCUUCCAUUGUUAUACAUUGCUACCAUGACGCUACUACCAUACACUUGCUAGAAUACCUUAUUUUUUAUGCCAUGCCAUCACAAGUAUACGGCUGAAAAUCUUCACGCCAGAGUGUAAGGCCAAAUGCACUGCCACGCCUUGCAUGCCUAUGUGUGUGUGAACGCGGUUUUGUAUAGCCAAACGCCCCAGAAAAUCAGACGGUUGACUCGGUCCAAUAGCACGGCUCGCAAGGCGGUUUAAAAUAUACUCCCUCCGUUCCUAAAUAUAAGUCUUUUAAGCAAUUUCAUUAGUGGUCUACAUACGAAGCAAAAUGAUUAAAUGUACACUCUAAAAUAUAUCUAUAUACAUCCGUAUGUAGUCCACUAGUGAAACCUCUAUAAAGACUUAUAUUUAGGAACGGAGGGAGUAUAUGAUUGUCAUCCGGUUGAUUGAUAAUGCUGGCCAAGAAAAUAACAUGUAUAACUCUAGGAAUCGACAAAGUUAAGAUUAUUUUUAACAGUAAAUAUGAAUUGAACCAAAUCAUUUUGACCAAGUAGGAUUUUUUCUGAGAUAAAUUGGGUGGAUAUCGUCACAGUACCAUUCUAUUAUUCUCUAUCUACUAGGCGUAGUGUCACACUAAUUGAAGUACACUAAAAAUUGAAGUAUUAGUCUUGUUCAAUGCUCUUGUUGGACCUUGUUUGUAAUCCAUGCCAAUCAAUUCCGACAUGUAAAUAUGCAGCGUAUUCAGCACACUGAGAACUCAGUGUGACUAUACCCUAAAAAACAAUCAGUGUGACUAUUCCCUCAAAAACAAAAUAUCAGUGUGACUAUUCAUGGAUUUAUCCCCAGUCUUGGUUUGUCUAGCGUGUGUUGUGACCAGUAGUGUAAUACAUCAUUUUUUGUGGUCGUAAGGGGAAAAAGACAUAGGAAAGACCUUAAAUUUUCAGGUCCAUGACUCACCCGGUCGAAAUGCACAACCAAAAAAAAUUAUGCAACGUUUGAACUAGGUGAUAGUAUCAAUGUAACGCAGCCUCUCUCUCAGUUGUUUGCAUUGAUCAAUGUCUGAAAGUAUCCAUUCUUAUAUGUCUGUUUAGGUAGAUACGUGUCAGAUUAACCUAUACUAUAUGGUGAAUAAGUCACCAAAACCAAUUCUUAUUAGAUUUUGUUAAGAAAAUUCUUUUAACACUAGAAUGUUGAUACAAGAGAGGAAUCAUGUCCAAUUGAGCCAUAGAUAUCAUUAUUAUUUUUAUUCAUAAAUAAGUGCUAAACAGAAAAUUCGAGAAGUAUAGUAUAAGUUGCUAAAAGAAGAUAUAGUCUCCAGCCAACAAUACUACUGAAAAUCAUAAAAUUUCACAUAGUUACAAAAUAACCAUAUUCUAAGUAGGACUUUGAAUGAGGGUAUAACAUUUUUUAUUUUGCUCUAAAUAGGACAUAGUUGAAGGAAAAAAAUUUACCUUGAACAUAUAGCUAAUCAAACGUAACAUUUCACGUUUACCUAAUGAAAUAGUAUUAUGCUACCUAGUGUAGGUGCACACAAUGAUAUUUCCAGUCACUUGUGUCCUUGUCAAUCACCUACCAGGACAAACAAAUCAAGCUCACACAUUACGACCGGUGCAUCUUAAUCUUACUCAUGGAUCCCACAAUUUUCAUGCAUUUAACUUGAUGCACACACUGCGCCAAAGCCAGCCAACACUAAGAAGUUUGCCGCGAUCAUCACAACAGUGAUAAUAGGAUUUGUGGUUCUUCUGCUAUUGCCUGGCUUCCUGAUUUGGAGGAAGGUCCGACGCAACAAGGAAGGUGAUAGUCCUUGGUGUGUUUCAGCAGGAUAAUCUCAAACUGUUGCUUGCUCUAUUGUUCACGUCUUGUAGCUUCCUUCUUUAUUUUUACAGCUACCAUGUUUGAUGGCAUCAUCAGAGGCAAAUGUCCCAUGUACGAUUUCGAAACCAUCAGAGCCGCCACCGGUGGAUUUCAUCCCGAGAACGAAAUUGGGCGCGGUGGCUUUGGCAUUGUUUACAAGGUGAUAAUGCUUGACACAUUGCAAUAUUACAAUCAAUCUAUGUCAAUCAUAAAUGAAAUUUCUCGUGGUUGUAUAAACAAUAGUAAGAUAGUACAACUACUCAUGUAGUACUUUUAUGACAAGCUAGAUGAUUCCGAGUGCUUUGGUAUCUAGACUAGAAGGCUGGGCGCGCUUUGUUGCGCUGUUAGAUUAAAAAAAUCUAAUCAUUUUGUUUUAAGAUACAAUGUGUAUUGCUUUUUUUAAUGUCAAACCUUUUAAAUUUGAUAAAAUUUGUAGAAAAAUAUAAAUUCAUAAUAUCAAAUUGUUGUGAUCAGAUUCAUCGUUAAUGGAUUUUCAUAUUUUUUAUUUAAUGUUGUGGAUGAUGAUACUUGUUUGGUCAAAGUUGAAGAAUUUGACUUUACAAAAAACUAAUACCCCUUAUAUUUUGAAACUAAUGAAAUAUUUUGUUUGACGUGUGGGGGAGAUGACAUAGUUUUUUUAUAUAUAAUUUGGUAAUUUGAUGGGCCUCUCGUGGUAUGAUUUUAUAUUAUAUGCCAACCAACCUUAUAUACAUGGGAAAAUUUUGAAGUCGACGGCAGCAUGAGUGUGAUUGAUAUGUUCUUAUAGGCCGGUUAUUGUUGAUUGAUUUGAAGAACUGUUAGUUCGGUCAAAAUCGUAAACUAAACCCAUUAGAAAGAGUAGUGUAUUUGUCUAUAGAAAUGAACGAGUGAGUUUUGAGAAAUUGUUGACCGAGUCAAAAUCGGGUGACCCAAUUUUAAUUGGAGUUUUGAAGACCUCAAUUGAAUGUGGACACUUUAAAACUAAGGAGUAUAGUAUUAUAGAGGUAUAAAUAAAAUAAUUAAAUGAGAGAGUUUUGAAAAAUUGUUGACCCAGUCAAAAUUGGGGGUCACAAUGUCAAUUGAGGACCUCAAUUGAAUGUGGGCUCUUAAAUUCCAGGAAGAUUAGUAUUAUAGUAUAUGUUAAGAGACAUGUAACUAGGACAUAUAGUUAUUGCACUAAACAAAAAUUAUGUUAUGUUAACACUUAAUAGUUAGAGAAAUUUUAGCAAUAAACAAAAGAUAAUACAGUAAUGAAAAAUCAUCACAAGUCAGAUUAAUAUAUGUCAUUCCAUCUGUUUCAUUUUCUUAGACCCAUCUCCACAAAUUCUUGUAGCAAUGUAGAGUUUGCCAAUAAAAUUUCCUUUAAUAUUUGACAACAGAGGACCCUUCAGCUAAUAGUUAUAUCAUCUCUUGCCGGCCUUAGUUCCUACUUUCACUCUUUAAUCCAGAUCCCAACAAUUAAUGUGGAGCGCCAACUCCAAUCAAUUCUAUGUAAUCUUUAUGACAUGCAUGACAUGGUGAGAUGGAGGUUGCCUGUUCAGAGUAUAACUGAACUAAAUUUACCAGGGUCAAAUGCAAGAUGGCCAGAAAAUUGCUGUGAAGAAGUUGUCAACUAACAACAGAGUGCAAGGCAUGAAAGAGUUCAAGAACGACGUGGACCUCAUUGCCAGGCUGCAGCAUCGCAACCUUGUACGCCUGCUUGGCUGUUGCAUCCACUACUCUGAUAGGAUACUCGUCUACGAGUACAUGAGUAACAAGAGCUUGGACAACUUCAUCUUUGGUGCGUUUCUUUUUACCCCCAGUUAGCAAAACAAUCACCACCAUUUGUACCGUCGGAACUUAACUCAGAAAAAUUAAUUAUGCAAAAUCGCCAACAGAUCUGAGGAGGCGUGCCACUUUGAGCUGGAAGACUAGGAUGGACAUCAUCCUUGGCGUUGCUAGAGGGCUUCUCUACCUUCAUCAGGAUUCGAGGCACACUAUGAUCCACCGAGAUCUCAAGGCAGCCAACGUUCUCCUUAAUGGAGAGAUGGUCGCCAAGAUAUCGGAUUUCGGAAUCGCGAAGUUGUUCAGCAACAUCGACGACAACCAGGAUUCCACCGUCACGGAAAGGAUUGUUGGGACAUUGUAAGGACUACAACUUUGCAUACCAAUGGUCAAGUAGGAGUACUAAAAUUUCCAUCAAAAAUUUUAUCUGGAUUUUCUGACGGUUUUUGUAUGGUUGUCGUGCGGUGACAGUGGUUACAUGGCACCGGAGUACGCCAUGGACGGCAUGGUAUCAUUCAUGCAGGAUGUGUACAGUUUUGGUGUGUUGUUGCUCGAGAUCGUCAGUGGGAGGAGGAACCAACGAAAUUUCAACCUCAUAGCUCAUGUAAUCAAUCAAUUACCUUUCAUGCAACCGAAAAAAUGAGAUUUAUGUGAUUCUAUAACAUUUAUUCUAAUUUGUAAUGUUGUGCCUACACGGCCAAGUCUGAAACUUGUUGACCUUGACAAAAUAGAAUAAAAUUUUGCAGGCGUGGAAGCUAUUUGAAGAAAACAAAAGCCUCAAGCUCCUUGACCCAACUGUGCGCGAUGACUGCUCCCAUGAGGAGCUAGAGCAGGCGGCGACGUGCAUCCAGGUAGGGUUAUUGUGCGUUCAAGAGAGCCCGAGCCAACGGCCGCAAAUGGCUGUUGUGAUCCCCAUGUUGUCGCAGCAACAGGUGCCAAGGCGGCCACUUCGACCGGUGGUCUGCAUGCCAGUGAGCACUCGGGACGAUCAUCUCAAUAGGCAGGAGGACACGUCUAGCAACUUCCAGAUGAUCAUUACGGACCUUGAAGGCCGGUAGGUAGAAGGCAUGGAUGGACGAAUGGAAGACAUAUUACUGAGGCCGCCUUGUUCGGUUAAGCCACUCCCCAGGUGGAUUAGAGUGGAUUGAAGGGGAUUUCGAAAGAAUUUGACAUAGAUGGGAUUUAAUCCCUGCCAAUACCUAUCAAUCCCUCCCAUUUGUCAUGUAACCGAAGGAGGCCUCAUGACUUCCUAAAUGUAAUCGGGUAGAACAGGUGCAUGCACUCGGUGGAAUGGAAUGGAUCUACACAAGAAGUGACCUCUUAAUCUGUAAAAUAAUACCUAUGUUAUUCAAGGAGACUGAUAACAUAUUAAAAUUUUGAUAAAUUUUAAAUGAACUACAAAUUUGAUAAUGGUGGAUUAUGGGUUAAGUCAUGUCCCGUCAUUUUGGUUUAAGAGACGCCUAUGCCUAAGAUAUGGACCGCCGAUGUCCUGCAAUUGUAUUGGUCUGUGUAAGCAUGAAGAAUCAUUUACGAGUGACACACGUCAUUUACCCAGUUGUAGAUGAAGUUUGAAACUGUCCUAUAAUUUACAGAACUAAUCUAAGUCAAAAACCUAGUUUUGGAGGUAAUCAGCUAAAUUGCAAAGCAUAUUUUCUUCUUGACCAUCUAAGUUUCAGAUAUUUUAUUGUCUACUCCAAACAAAAUGGACAUAGGGGAGGUUGACCCAAUCUAUAUUGUCAGCUAAAGCAGUGAUGGCCAGACCAAGGUUGAAAGGAACGAAUGGACCUAGAGGAGAGAGGGGGUGAAUACUAUAAUUACAAAUUUUAAUUGAUUAUUGCCAAGUUUUAAAAGAUGCACGAUAUAAAAUCGAGUGACUAACAUGAUCUAUCAAACACAAUUCACAAGGCCACAAAGUGAAAAAAGAGAGGCUUAUUCAGCUCAUUAAUGAGUUAGAUGUGAAAGCAGAGUCUACACUUCUUAAUAUGCCAGAUAGGAAUAUCAAGAUUGAGGCUGAGAAUAAAUUGAGAACUCUUCUGAGAGAGGAGGAGAUGAAAUGGGCCCUUCGAGCAAAGGUGACGAAGGUGGUCCAUGGGGAUGAUAACACACAAUUCAUGCACAUGAUUGCAAAUGGCAAGCAUAGGAAGAAGAAAAUAAUUCAACUUGAACAGGAUGAGGGUACAAUUGUAGAACAUGAAAACCUAAAGUUGUACAUCUCCGGGUAUUAUAAGAAACUUUUUGGUGAACCCAAAUAUAAUUUUGUUUCUCUGGAUGAGAGCGCAACAUGUAACAUUUCUCAGCUCAGUCCAGAUGAGAAUGAGGUAUUGUCAGCUCUGUUUACACAGAAAGAAGUGUUUGACGCAAUAGGACAAAUGAAGCAAAAUAAGGCAUCGGGAUCAGAUGGGUUUCUGGGGGAAUUUUAUAGAAGUGUUGGCACAUUAUAAAGGGUGAUCUUUUGCCUAUGUUCCAUGAUUUGUUUAAUGGUGAGUUAUAGCUAUUUCACCUUAACUUUGGAACAAUAACGUUGUUGCCAAAGAAGGUGGAGGUUAUUCGCAUUGAGCAGUUCAGACCGAUAUGCCUGCUUAAUGUCAGUUUCAAUUUUUUUACAAAGGUUGGCACGAAUAGGCUGAUGUGGAUAGCCCAUUCAGUAGUCCAACCAACUCAGACAACUUUCAUGCCUCGAAAACAUAUCCUAGAAAGGGUCAUUAUCUUGCAUGAAAUGUUGCACGAAAUCCACACAAAGAAACUUGAUGGUGUUAUCUUUAAAGUGGAUUUCGAGAAGGCAUAUGAUAAGGUCAAAUGGCCAUUCCUUCAACAGGUUGUGCGUAUGAAGGGGUUCAACGAAUCAUGGAGGGAUUAGGUGGAUGCUUUCAUUCAGAAAGGUAGUGUUGGGAUUAAAGUUAAUGAGGACAUAGGUCAUUAUUUUCAGACGCAUAAGGGACUGAGCAGAUUCCAUGUCUCAAGUGUUGUUCAACAUAGUAGCGGAUAUGUUGGCAGUCCUUAUUAGUCGGGCUAAAGAGAACGAUCAAGUAGGAGGAAUUGUACCACACCUUGUAGAGGGGGGAGUGUCCAUACUACAAUACGCGGAUGACACAAUCGUAUAUAUGGAACACGAUAUCGCAAAAGCUAGGAAUAUGAAGCUUGUGCUUUGCCUAUUUGAACAAUUGUCUCGACUAAAAAUAAAUUUUAACAAAAGCGAAUUGUUUUGUUUUGGGAGAGCAAAAGAGGAACAAGAUGCUUACAGGCAACUAUUCGGAUGUGAUAUGGUAUCUUUGCCGUUUAGUUACCUAGGGAUUCCCAUUCAUUAUAGAAGAUUGACGAAUAGGGAAUAGAAAUGUAUUGAAGAUAGAUUCGAAAAAAAGACCAAGUUGCUGGAAGGGCAAGCUUAUGUCUUUUGAAGGCCAGCUUGUGUUAAUAAACUCGGUUUUGACAAGCCUGUCUAUGUUUCUUCUAUCUUUCUUUGAAGUAUCGGUAGGUGCACAAAAAAUACUAUACUUUUAUCAAUCUCAUUUCUUCUCGCAAUGUGAUGAGGCUAAGAAGAAAUACAGAUUGGCAAGGUGGGAUAUUAUUUGAGACCCAAAGACCAAGGAGGUCUAGGCAUUGAGAAGUUAGAAGUAAAGAAUAGAUGUCUGCUUAGCAAAUGGUUAUACAGGUUAUCUACUGCGAUAGACGGGUUAUGGGUACAAAUCUUAUGGAAUAAGUACUUACAAUCAAAGACUUUGGCCCAGGUUACAUCUAGACCUAAUGACUCAUCCUUUUGGAAGGGGCUAAUGAAGACGAAUGUAACCUUCUUACAACGGGUGAAGAUUUUAGUUGGCAAUGGUACCACGACCAGAUUCUGGAAGGACACAUGGCUUGAGGUCAGAAACGCAUUUAGCUCUACAAUAUCCUACCCUAUAUAAUAUUGCACAACGUAAGGAAUAUUAUGUUGCUGCAAUAUUCCAGUCGAUACCUCUUAAUAUACAAUUGAGGAGAUCUCUAGUGGGAGAGCGCUGGAAUUCCUGGUUGCAUUUGGUCAAACGAUUGAUGGACGUUUAACUCUCUGACCAGUCAGAUAAUAUUCACUGGAAAUUAGCUACGAAAGCUAUUUUUUCAGUAAACUCGAUGUACAUGGAUCUUAUUAACUAUGGGCCUCUAUCGAGAUCAUUACAUAUUUGGAAGAUUAAAGUGCCACUUAGAAUUAAAAUUUUCAUGUGGUUUAUACACAAGGGAGUUGUACUAGCCAAAGAUAAUUUGAUAAAACGAAGAUGGGUAUGCAGUUCCAAAUGUUGCUAUUGUGAUCAAAAUGAAACAUUAAGACACCUCUUUCUCGAAUGUCCUCUAGCAAAAACUUUUAUGGCACACUAUUCAUAUAGCUUUCAACAUUAAUCCACCUACAAGCAUCGAAACGUUAUUUGGGGCGUGACUCGGUGGAGUAGACGUAACUAUAGCGAAUCAUAUCCGGAUUACAAUAAGUGCAUUAGGUUGGGCUAUAUGGGACACUAGAAACGAUAUUAUUUUUAAUGGCAAGAACUUCAACAAUUUUUUGCAGUAUAUUUACAGAACUACGGCUUGGAUCUGUACGUGGUCGUUACUCACUCCUGCGGACUCCAGGGAGCUUAUGGAUAUUGGAUGCAACCGGUCGAAGACGGUUGCAUGGGCUAUCUUCUGCCGAUUUGGAUGACGAGCUAAUAAUAGGAUAGGUGUAUAGACAUCGUAGCCUACUUUUGGUUUCGCCAGAUAUGGCAGCUUUUAUUUAUUUACGCACUUGGUUUUAUGCUCAAACCGUGAGCACAUUAUGAUUCUAAGACUUUAUUCUUGAAAUAAUUUAAUAAUAUGGCUGCAUGCAUCGAUUAAUGCAGAGGUCAGGGCUCCGUUCCUCCUUUUCCAAAAAAAUCACAAGGUGACUAAAGUAAAGCACAAGUAGGAAGUUAGGGUUCUGGAUAAACAACGUGACGAAAACAAGGAUAUAUCUCGAUUUUCACUUCUUUGAAGGGAAGUUAUUCACCGUUAGGGGGAUGAGUGCUACCACAAAGUCAUGCCAAUACCAUGAAGGCUCGCCCUAUUAUUCUCAACCACUAGUGGUAGACCCUGGGAUGGCCUUCAGACUUUCACAAACUUUCAAGGGUAAAUAGGAAGUAUAUUCUCACUGGAGUACUCCUACAACCUAAGAGUCACCAGCCUCCAAGAGUACUAAGAUUAAAAGGAAAAAGCUCAAGGUAUAUUCAAUGAAAAAUACCAAAUGAAGUUAGAAAAUAUUGAAAAUUUAUGAUGUGGCUUUAAAUGGUGUAUUUUAAACACACAAAAAGUAUGGAGUUCAAAUAAGUUCAAAAAAAUGAAAUUCCUUUGCAAUAGAUGAGUUUUCGUUCGAAACCCUGAUACUUCGAAAGAGAUUGUUCAUUUUGUACACGAAGUGCAUCCAGUUUUUGACGCAACCCUCUCAACUUUUUAGCACAUGCUAUGUGGGAGAAAUGAUGAUACGAUGUCAAGUUUCAACCUUUUCAGAGUUCAUUUGUCAGGCUUUUCAAUUUCAAGGUCAUUUAGGUCAAAAAAUCAUUAAAUGCAUGAAAAAUAGCAAAUGAAGUUAUAAAGGGUCGAAAUUUAGGAUGUGGUUUUGAAUGGUUUAUAUUGAAUGCACAAAAUGCAUAAAAUGUCUGAAGUUGAAAUAAGUAAAAAAAUAAAAUAUCUUUCUAGCAGAUGGGUUUUCGUCCGAAAUCGUGAUACUUCGAAGGAGAUGGUCCAGUUUGUACACGAAGUGCAUCCAGUUUUUGUCAUAACCCUCUCAACUUUUUAGCCCAAGCUAUGUGGAUGAAAUGAUGACACCAUACCAAGUUUCAACAUUUUCAGAGUUCAUUAUGGUUCUUUUCAAUUUCAGGGGUCAUUUAGCUCAACAUAGCAAAUAAAGUUAGAAAGGGUUAACUCUGGCUUGGUUAACCUUAGUUGUGAUUUUGGCGGGGACGGUGCUAGCAAAUGUAGUCGACGGGUAUGAUUGGACUCUUGGCUAAAGGGGGAUUCUGAAAUUUUCAAACUCUACCCUUCCUGGACCGUCUUUUUAGUUUUGUAGAAAAUAAAUAAAAAUGCUAAAAUCUUCAAAAAAUAAAAUCCUUUGGGAUGUAGUUAGGUUUUAGUGCCUAGUUGGUAUACAAAUUUUGAGAUAUGAAUUUUGACCGUUUUUUCAGAAAAGGGGAAAAUGUAAAACGGCCAUAACUUUUGCAUAUGACGUCAAAAAAAGUUUAAUAUAUCAAAAAAAACUAGAGAAAAUUGGGAAUCGAUUUCACCGGGGCUUGCCCGGUGAAGAUUUCUCAGAUGCUCAAAAUUCCGUAUGUAAAAAAAGUUAUGGCAAAAAGAAAUUUUUUCCAAAAAAUAAUUUUAUUUAAAAUCUUUAGGUUGUUUUCAUUGAAAUUUGCUAUUACUAUUAGUUAUUUUGUUUAUUUUAAUAAUUGUUUGAAUUCAAAAAAUUAAAUCAUGUGACAUGACAUCAAACCCUAGGUUGUUUAGGAUUGAUAGCUUACUAUUGUCAGUAGAACAACAAGUGCAGACUUGGCAACUAGGGGCGAUAGAACCAAGAAGUUAAGCGUGCUCGGGCUGAAGCAGUGAAAGGAUGAGUGACCGGCCGAGAAGUUAGACGAUUUGAAAUGAGUAAUCUACGCUAGAGCAGUGAGGAUGGGUGAUUAGAGAUUAAAUUGUCAAAUAAAUCAAAGAUUUAAAAAUUGAAAUAAAACAUAAAAACAAAUCAAAGAAUAUUCAAAAAUAAAAUUUGAAAAAUAAAUAAAUAAGGUACCUUUUUGGGUCAAACAAACAAAAUAAACAAACGGAUCCUUUAGUCCCGGUCCGUGUUAAGACCCGGGACUAAAGGAUCUGCCCAUGAGGGCGCUCCGAGGCGCCCACGUGGAGCACCUUUGGUCCCGGCUUGGAACAGGGCCGAGACUAAAGGUUAGGCCUUUAGUCCCGCCUCUUUGGUCCCGGUUGGUGAACCGGGACUAAAGCCCCUUACGGGCCGGGACUAUAGGCCCUGUCCCCACUAUUGAUUUAGUCAUAUUUUAAAAUGUAGAUUCACUCAUUUUGCUUCGUAUCUAGUCUAUAGUGAAAUCUCUAAAUGGUUUUGUAUUAAGGGACGGAGGGAGUACUUACUAUGGAUCUAUGAUGGACUUGAUCCGUGAUGUGCGUAUUAUUUUUAAUUACAUCCUUGAUGCGUGCAUGAGAAGGAAUAUAAAAGUUCGGUCUCACGGUGUAUGAAAAACUGGUGGGUCCUAUGAAGUACGAAUAAUUCGGAGAAUGCUUUUUUAUUUUAUUUUAACGGGUGGUGAGAUGGGUAAUUUAUUUCUACUUUAGGGGUGGUUUCGAUGAGAGACGAAACGUUCAGAGGCAAAAUUGAUGAGAGUUGUUUUUCACUUACGGGUGUUGGGGUGAAUAAUUUACUCCAACUUUAGGGGCAAUUUCAAUGACUGAUGUAGAAAAUCAGAGAAACAAUUAACAGGGUUUUUUUAAACUUUGAGUGGCAUAACGGGCAAUUUAAUCCAACCUAAUCGACAACUUGGAAUAGAUGGACAGACCAAAAAAUUAAAGAAAUGCACCGUCCUUUAAUCUAUCGUUCUAUUAAACGGUUUUUAUACGGUUUUUGUAAGUUUUACCUUUCUUGUUCUUUCUGAUAUUUUUUUUAUUUUUUUCAUUCUUUAUAAAAAAAAUCAUGAUUUUUUAGGUUUAUGAACUUAAAAAAACAUAUGUAUUUUUUUUCAAAUUCAUUAACUUUAAUCAACUUCAUGAAGUUUUUUAGAAUUUAUGAACUUAUUUCAAAUUUGUUAAAUUUUUCAAAGUCACAAAAAAUAUAUUUAUAUCAACUUUUUGCAAAUUUAUGAACAUUUGCUUCAAAUUUAUGAACUAUUUCAAGUUAAGGGUCAACUGGGUCACCAGUGAACUUUCGAAUGGUCCAUUUGGUAAUAGUAAGCAAGUCAAUGAGUAAGUGGUAAUGUGUUUAGUUCUUUUUUACCCUAGCUCAACCGCUCGUAGUUUUGUUUGGCCAGCCCAUUGAUCUGCCUGCAUGAGCGCCAGUUCGGUAGCUGGCACUGCAUCGUAUAUUUGGUCUCCGCUAGAAAUGAGACAUAAUUGUGCCCAAAUAUGGGGAAAUGGUAUGACAAAAGUACCCAUGGACCUGACCAUCCAUAUAUACUAGCCUAUUUGGUAUAACGCAUUUUCCACUCUCACCUUGAGAGUUUUCGCAUCUUUCUCACAUACAUCCAAACCUCCUAGGAGGACUUCAUUUUGUUUCUACCAAAGAUGACUUUUCUAUAUUAACACGAUUGUUACAUAUUCUAUGGCAGGAAGUAUAUAGUCUACCACUUUGCAGAAGUAUUGGAAGCAAGCAUCAACUCUAUGGAAAUACUUCAACAAAGGGGUAAAAGCUUUAGAAACGUCCAUGCAUGCUUAUAGUGCUUUAUAAUUUUAUUGGAUGGAAAUUACAGACUAACAUUUUUUUAUACCAUUUAAAAUUGCUACAAUAUAUUAUCUCAUAUUUGAUGUUUAUUAUCUAGUACAGACCGGUAGUUGGAGCAUUUGCACAUCAUUAAGUACUAUACGUAGAAUGCAGUCAGACUUUUUUCCUAUUCAACUAAUAAACUUUGGAUUUUCCUUUUGGGAAUAUUAAAAUUAAAUCCAAACACAAAUAUAAUUACCAUUUCUUAUUUUUUCAGGACAUGAAUGGAGGUAGGGGGCUAAGACACCCAAUGUUGGUACCAAGCCCAAACUGGAGGGGCAUAAAAAAUAAACCUUUGUGACUAUCACGCAAUACAUUAGUUACAUUACAUUGGUUAUAUUUUCCAAGAUGGAAAUGUCUAAUAGUUCAGUAAUUCUUACCAUCUCUAGAUACAUUAGGUAAUCAUUAACGUAAAAAUAAUAUGCAAAAAAUUGUUUUUCUAUAAUAAAUUUCCUCAAACCGAAAUAUGGUGGCUAACAUAAGAACAAGUUUGAACUAAAAAGACAGUAAGAUCUAAACAUUGAAAAAUCCAAAUAAAGUAAACAACGAAGAGAGACCGGAAAAAAUAAAAGGAAGGUCUUGCAACUAGAAGGAAAUACGACGUUGAAAUCCUGGGUGUUGUUAUGAAGGAUGAAGACAACGUGUCGAGCUGCCUGGCUUGCUGACUUUUCCCAUUGCGUAAGAAAACUUUACUCAAACAAUUGCCCAAUCUUUUCAAGAGUGUUGUAAGUCCAUCUAUGCAUACAAUGGAGGUACACAUCAUAACAUACAUACUACAUAUAUUACGCAUGCAAAAUAAUGGUUACCACUUUUUUUACAAGUUCUCCUUUUACAAAUCAAGUAAUAUGUUCCCAUGAGGAAAGGCUAAUAUAUUACCUUUGUAACUUAGUUUUGUUAAAUGCUAGCCAUCCAUUUGAGAGGGCCAGUUUGCUAGUUACAUAAAUAAUAAUAAUUUCAGCAAGUUGUAGCUAGUGUAGAAUGGUCAAAUUAAUCAUGUGUCAGUCAACAAGAGUUCUCCACAAUAGGUUCAAAUCAAGCCACAUGGGUUGAUAGUGACAAUUGACACUUACUAGCUAAUUGCAUGUGUGUUGCAACUGGAAAAACAUAUUCUAGCAUUAAUCUUGUCCGACAUAUACUUUAACCCACCAUAUUCUAGAUUUUGGUAAGAUUUAAUUUGGUUUGGGUAUGGGUAUAGGAAGGCAAGGAAUUGAUUCAGUUGAGGUUUUGGUAAGGUUUUAUUUGAUUCCGGUAUGGGCAGGGGAAGACGUCAGAUUUAGAUUUUGUUGAUAUUUUGGUGAAAUUUCAUUUGAUUUGGUUUAUUUGGUAAGGUUUUAUUUGAACUCUCUUUUAAUAAUAGAGAUAAAUAAUAAUACAUUCAGCAAGUUGUAGAUAGUUCAAAUGAACCACGUGUUGAGUCAGCAAGAGUUCUCUGACCAAAUCUUCCUGAUUGCUGCAUCUGGAAUAACUUGGUAAUUGAUUCGUCUCAUCUGUCGGAAAAUUCUUGGAAUUCCGUGGUCUAGUAGGAUUAUGGGACCGAGAGGUGGGAAUAAAUGCACUGACGACUCUUGGUGAAGCUCUGGUCACACUACUCAUUCAAGAGGGAGAUCAUGAGCCAGAGCCGCCACCAUCUCUUCCUCGCCUUGCCAUCCGUGGCCAUGCUGCUUCUCACAGCCUCGGCCGUCGCCGCAAACAACACGUUGAAGCGGCGGAGUGCAAUCGGCGGCGACCAGACGCUGGUCUCGCCGGGGAACAUCUUUCAGCUCGGUCUCUUCUCCGUCGCCAACAACACCAAGUGGUUCCUCGGCAUAUGGUUCACCGUCUCCACGGAAGCCGUCAUCUGGGUCGCCAACCGCGACCGCCCGCUGAACGCCUCGUCCUCCGGCUUUCUCUCGCUCAGCGGCCAAGGAGACCUCGUCCUCCUCGACGCGGCCAGCAACAACGAAACAGUCUGGUCAUCCAACUCCUCUUCCUCGGCCACGGCGGUCGCGCAGCUCGACGACACCGGUAACCUCGUCCUCGCGGAUGAUGCCGGCUCCGUGCUGUGGCAAAGCUUCGAGCAUCCGACCAACACGUUCGUCCCCGAUAUGCGGAUCGGCAAGAGCAUCAAGACCGGGGACGAGUGGUCCCUCUCCUCGUGGCGCGACGGCGACGAUCCGUCAGCUGGCGACUUCCGCUUCGUAAUGGACACGCAGGGCUCGCCGGAGUUCCACGCCUGGAGUAGGAAGCAGGGACGCAAGACGUACCGAACGGGGCCGUGGAACGGGGUGCGGUUCAGCGGCAUACCGGAGAUGGGAACCUACAAGGGCAUGUUCGAGUUCCAGUUCACCGACACCGCCCACGAGGUCUCCUACAUGUACCACGCCUACCCCGGCUCGCCGCCAUCCCGCGUGGUCCUGGACGAGUCCGGCGUGGUACAUCGCAUGGUCUGGGACCGCACGCUGGGCAAGUGGAGCGUCUUCUGGUCGGGGCCUAGGGACCAGUGCGACACCUACGGCAUGUGCGGCGCGUUCGGCGUCUGCAACGUGGUGGACGCCGUGGUGUGCGACUGCAUCAGGGGGUUCCGGCAGAGGUCGCCGGCGGAGUGGCGCAUGCGGAACCCCUCCGGCGGGUGCGUCCGCAGCACGCCGCUGCAGUGCGAGCGCGGCGGCGAGGACGGUUUCUACGCCCUGCGCGGCGUGAAGCUGCCAGAGACGCACGGGAGCAGCGUGGACAACGGCACCUCGCUCGAGGAGUGCCGCCGGCGGUGCCUGGCCAACUGCUCCUGCACGGCGUACGCCGCGUCGGACAUCCGUGGUGGAGGGAGCGGGUGCAUUCAGUGGUUCGGCGAGCUGAUGGACACGCGGUUCCUCAACGGCGGGCAGGAUCUCU